rnacentral:rRNA from 1 species
GCGUGCGGGAAGAAGGCCUUCGGGUUGUAAACCGCUUUUGUCAGGGAAGAAAUAUGCCGGGCUAAUACCUCGGCAGGAUGACGGUACCUGAAGAAUAAGCACCGGCUAACUACGUGCCAGCAGCCGCGGUAAUACGUAGGGUGCAAGCGUUAAUCGGAAUUACUGGGCGUAAAGCGUGCGCAGGCGGCCGCGCAAGACAGGUGUGAAAUCCCCGGGCUCAACCUGGGAACUGCACUUGUGACUGCGUGGCUAGAGUACGGCAGAGGGGGAUGGAAUUCCGCGUGUAGCAGUGAAAUGCGU